GUCCAUACCCUCAUUUCUCAGCUCUACAAACUGAGGCCUAAAGAGUUCAAGGACUAGUCUAAAGACUAGGAGUGAGCCAAGAUUGGAAUGGAGCAUUCUUCACUUCGUAGCUGCUACUCUGACCACUGGAUUCGAAACUGCUCUGACUCCUUUUCUUCUAGAAUAAAGCACAGGAAUCUAAAUGUCACUCAGACUGACAGCCCCGGACCUGUCUGUCCCCUUGAGCCGGGGCAGUAGACAACAGCAGCGGCAAAGCCUGCUCUCACCCAGGAAGCCCCCAUCUCCACCUUGGACCUGAGCUCCGGAAUAAAAAAUUCCCGGAAAGGGAGAGGUCAGUCAUCCAAUGAAAAAAUAGCAACUGAAGCAAAGGGCUAAAGUAGGGGAAAGCUGGACUUUGGGUGAAGACCUUCGGUGGCAUGGGGAAGAGGGAGUAUUUGUUGAAAGAGAAUGAGCAGGAAGUGGUUCUUGGAGAGGAGCUGAGGGGCGUGGGAAGCCUACAGCCAACUGGGAGUGGCUUUGGAGAAGGGGAGGAGGAGGAAGAGUUCUCUGCAAUUCUCAGUCACUCAGACAAAUUGCAGAAGCCCAGAGAGGAGAGCUGAGAACCUGAGCCCAUGUCAGAGAGGGAAAACUUUCUACUCAGCCCUGACAAGUUCCAAAACGUUUCCUCCAUCUCUGCCCUCACCCUCCUCCCCCAGCCUGUGCGAUAGGGUCAUUUUUAGAACUCAGCCUAGCCUGGAAGAAACAGAGAGGCUGUAGACCUAAGGAAAUGAAUAUAAAAGUGAAAAAUACAACCUAAAAUACUAUUCUUUCAAUGUUCAGGUGUUCAAUGGGCUCUGAUGCAUCGUUGCUAUACACGGGUUAUUUUUGCUAUACAGGUUAUUUUUCUAAUAAUGGCCUCUCAUUUGUUAUAGUAUUUAUUAAGCAUUUUACUGUGUUUAACUCCUGGGGUAAUCAUAUCAGUCACAUGAGGCUGACAGUCUGAAAGGUAAGGUGAGCAAAUGUCUUCUGCCUAUUUUACAGACCAAGUAGACUGAGGCCCAGAGAGGUUAAGUGACUUGCCCAAGGUCAUACAUUAAACCAGUGGCACAAGAGCAAUUAGA